UAGGCCUGGGCAAAAAACCCGUACCCGCGUACCCGAACCGAAACCGACCCGAAAAACCCGGUUCGGGGCGGGUACGGGUAUAAGAGUUUUAUACUGUUGGGUCUUAUGUAUUCAUACCCGUGGGUAUCGGGUCGGGUUCGGGUUUUACCCGAUACCCGAUAGUGUAAACCGAAACCCGAAGACCUACCUUUACUCUUUUAAGUCUAUAUGUCGUUUUAGGGUUAGAGACGAUUAAAGGAGAGAGCUUUACCUUUCGAUUUAGCUUCUUGCCUUGCUCGAUUCCCGAUUCUAGAUCUAUACUCUCUCCUUUAUCGAUCAUCAUUUAAUCGAACCAAUCCUGGAAACUCAAGAGAAGACCACGACACCGUCUCUGGUCACUUCUCCACCGUCGGCGUUGUCGCGAAACCAGUUAGAGAGCAUGAAUGAACUAGGUGAACCAGAAUUUGUUUUUAAUAUGCAAGGCCAAGGAGCUGAUAGUCUGUAGAAUGAAUGAUUGAGAUACAAAGGUUCAUGCGGGUCAAGGAGAGUGAUAUUGUCUACUUCUAGUUUUCUGUUUUUAUGCCAUGAACUUGUUAGGCAAUCCGGUUUGUCAAUUUGUCUUUUUUCUUGGAUUUGAAUCAUGUGUAAUGGAUGUUUAAGACUUUCCUAUUUAAAUGCUUUAAGUUUUGUUCUGUUCUA